UACGUAGGUGGCAAGCGUUGUCCGGAUUUACUGGGCGUAAAGAGCGCGCAGGCGGUCGAUUUAGUCGCGUGUGAAAGCCCCCGGCUCAACUGGGGAGGGUCAUUCGAUACUGUUCGACUCGAAGGCAGGAGAGGGAAGUGGAAUUCCGGGUGUAGUGGUGAAAUGCGUAGAUAUCCGGAGGAACACCAGUGGCGAAGGCGACUUUCUGGCCUGUUCUUGACGCUGAGGAGCGAA
rnacentral:rRNA from 1 species